UACGAAGGGGGCAAGCGUUACUCGGAAUUACUGGGCGUAAAGCGUGCGUAGGUGGUUUGUUAAGUCUGCUGUGAAAGCCCCGGGCUCAACCUGGGAAUGGCAGUGGAUACUGGCAAGCUAGAGUGCGGUAGAGGGUAGUGGAAUUCCCGGUGUAGCGGUGAAAUGCGUAGAGAUCGGGAGGAACACCAGUGGCGAAGGCGGCUACCUGGACCAGCACUGACACUGAGGCACGAAAGCGUGGGGAGCAAACAGG
rnacentral:rRNA from 1 species